rnacentral:rRNA from 1 species
GGAGGUGAUCCCGGUUUUAAAAAAGAAAACGGGUGGCGGCAGCCUAAAACACAGGCAAGUCGAGCGCAUUUUUCGGAGUGAGGCGGCGGACGGGUUAGUAACGCGUGGGAAUAUCCCCUUCACUACGGAAUAGCCUCGGGAAACUGAGAGUAAUACCGUAUACGCCCUUCGGGGGAAAGAUUUAUCGGUGAAGGAUUAGCCCGCGUCUGAUUAGAUAGUUGGUGGGGUAAUGGCCUACCAAGUCUACGAUCAGUAGCUGGUUUGAGAGGAUGAUCAGCAACACUGGGACUGAGACACGGCCCAGACUCCUACGGGAGGCAGCAGUGGGGAAUCUUAGACAAUGGGCGCAAGCCUGAUCUAGCCAUGCCGCGUGAGUGACGAAGGCCUUAGGGUCGUAAAGCUCUUUCGCCAGAGAUGAUAAUGACAGUAUCUGGUAAAGAAACCCCGGCUAACUCCGUGCCAGCAGCCGCGGUAAUAAGGGCGA